GGAUGUGAGGGCGAUCUGGCUGCAGCAUCUGUCAUCCCAUGGAUCAUCAGGGUUGAUUCAGUUGAUCUGGUUGUCUAGGUGGUGUCUUCUCCCUCCCUCACUGCUCUAUGUGUGUCCCUUCUGAAGCUGCAUGCUCCGUCAAAGAGGCCGACCUUCCCUGAUAGAGGAGGACCGUUCUUCGGUCAAAGGUAGAUGAAUAGCUGUGCUCCCUGGCUAGGACCUCCAACAAGCCCUUUAAGUCCUUUUGCAGGAGAACAUAGGUCGUCAAGCUUCCAAAACUCCAGGCACAUCCAAAUGACAUGCUGCAUGUGGCAGAAUGUCUUUCU
rnacentral:snRNA from 1 species